UACGUAGGGUGCAAGCGUUAAUCGGAAUUACUGGGCGUAAAGCGUGCGCAGGCGGUUGUGCAAGACAGAUGUGAAAUCCCCGGGCUCAACCUGGGAAUUGCAUUUGUGACUGUACGGCUAGAGUGUGUCAGAGGGGGGGUAGAAUUCCACGUGUAGCAGUGAAAAUGCGUAGAGAUGUGGAGGAAUACCGAUGGCGAAAGGCAGGCCCCCUGGGAC
rnacentral:rRNA from 1 species